rnacentral:lncRNA from 14 species
AAUCCCUUCCUCCAAAUUCUAAGAAACUAUUACACCGGUUUUAACACCUUCUCAUGUUAUGUUUAAAAUAAAUUUAUGAAACCAUUUUAAAAUUAUGCACAGUUGCAUUCUGGAGAACUUUAAGGUGGCGCCUUUAUAGUAUCACAUUUUAGAAGCUUGUUUUGAAUGGUGCAUUUAAACGCAACUGGUUACUGCAAAUCUACGUUGCCUCUGUGAGUAAACAUUAUAGAGAGCUCGACUCGGGUAGACCUUACGGAAUUCUGCACUACAGUACUCUGCUUUGUUACCUUGGCUGAGGUGUUCCUAUGCCUUAGUGAGUGACUGCGUUGUGUCCACUGCCUAGUGGAAGCCGGAGGCUCCCUUCAGCUCACUGCUCCGCUCCCAAGGACCAUGUGAGGGUGGAGUCAGUGCAACCUGAUACAAAUCUGUCUGAGCAUUCAGAUAACUUAAGUUGGUGGCCAAAUGUUCCCCAAUGUUUUCCUGUUUCAUUUAACUUCAGUCCUUUUGCCAGUGACCUUUAGAGCCCAAUGAGAGCCUCUUUCUGAGCUUCACCUUGUGUUUGUAGUGUUCGGAACCACGUGCAGUGCAGAAUUUCCUAAGGCUGAGGUGUGCCAUCAGUGUGGUAAUUUAAAUAUACUUAAAACAAUGCACAAAUCUGCUGCUUCCACCACUGCAGCUUCCACCCCCCUUUCCGUUGACUGAUUUAAUCUGAAACAAAGGACGAAGUUGUGCCUGAAGUGAAUACUUUUUUUUUCUCUAUUUUUUUUUGCAGCCAGCACCAUGUACUGUAACAGAAAAAAUACUCCUUUAGGCUUCCCAUACUAACUGUACCGAGCCUUCCAUCGAGGAUCGGGAGUUACCGCUCGGGAUCGAGGCGAGUGCCGGGGUUUGGGUUCGGUUUUGUUCAGUUUCGGGAUUGUUUUUGUUUGGUCACGUUACCUCUCUUCUCGCUGUAGGGGUUUCUGGGGGAGACGCGUUCUCUUUGUAAACCGGACGUUGCUUCCUCCCGGUUUUCUGUUAAUGGCAAAGAAUGGAAAUAGAAUAAAGUUUUACUGAUUUUGAGACAAAACGAACCCUCCCUCCCGCCCCGUCUCUUCCUUCCCGUCGGGGGAGGGCGGGGGGACGCUGCCCUCUGCACGU